UACAGAGGUGGCAAGCGUUGUUCGGAAUUAUUGGGCGUAAAGAGCACGUAGGCGGCUCUGCAAGUCAGCUGUGAAAGCCUUCUGCUUAACGGAAGAACGGCAGUUGAAACUACAGGGCUUGAGUGCGGGAGGGGAGAGUGGAACUUCUGGUGGAGCGGUGAAAUGCGUAGAUAUCAGAAGGAACGCCGGCGGCGAAGGCGGCUCUCUGGUCCGUGACUGACGCUGAGUGUGCGAAAGCUAGGGGAGCAAACGGG
rnacentral:rRNA from 1 species